AGAUCUCUGUCCUGCAGACUGGGUGCCUUUUAAUGAGAAGUGUUACUAUUUCUCAGGAACGAAAUUAACUGCAGACGAUAACUUGGAGUUCUGUAAAACGAUGAAUUCCACAGCUCUAAGAGAUGACAACGAAGAGGUUCAUGUUUUCCUCAAAGCUGAAUUAACAAGAAGGGGUUUCAAUAAUGUGUGGCUUGCUGCCAAUGACAAAGCUGUAGAGAACGAAUGGGUUUGGGGCCCUGGCGAUGCAGUAUUGAAUUCAGCAUGGUACCCUACUGAACCAAAUAAUCAAAACGACGAAGACUGUGUCAUCCUUGGCCUUAUAUACCCUGGGUGGCAUGACUGCUCAUGUUCCGGAAGGCUUAGCCAUUCUGCAUGCGAAAUACAGUUAGCCUAAGACUGAUGACCACGGGACCACCAUCUCAAUCUAGGGAUGAUCGAGUGUGAAUUGUGUCAAACUCAGCCUUUGGAUGACUUGAUACUGAUUGCGCCAUUGGAAUCGCAGGUUAGGUUUUGUGAACCACAUAAAAAACGCUUUGUUGAUGUCAUACCUAAAAGCAGCAUUUUGAAAUUAGAGCGAGCAAACGAACGAACGAACGAACGAACGAAGGAAGGGAGGGAGGAACGAACGAACGAUUUUUUUUUAUAGUUAUUAUCACCAAAUACCUUAUUUCAUUGUUUAAAUCUUCAAUCCUGUGAAAAAUACUCAUACAGUAGUUUUGUUUUAUUUGAUUUGUUUGUUUGGUGUUUUUUUUCAAUGGAAAGGAAGCUACUAUUUUUCACAUCUGGAGAUGUCUUUUGCAGGCUUUCUGUAUAUUAUUUUAUGUAAAAAUAGGAAACAUGUUUUUCCUGGUUAACACACAAAUGCUAGAUACAAAUGAACAUUCAAAAGAAUAAUAUAGUCUAGUGUUCAAUGAUCCCGGCAAUACACAAAUUGAUAGAACAUACAGCAUCCGAUUUGUUAACGAAAAUGUGUAAAUAUACUGUAUGUGAACUUAAGCUGGAAAUCUGCAGGUUAUCUGAAAUUAAUCUUUGCAUUCCGCGGGAAAUACACCUGCACACGCAGGAUCCGACACCCUCUGUUUUCCGUUGUCUCCGUCAGUUGUAGUAGCAGGUAUCAUACAUUUUACCAUGAAUCCAAACAAGCUGGUCCUCAACAAUCGUAGCCACAGACAGCGAAUGCUCAUCACGAUGGACUUUCAGGUAAUGUUGUGACGCUUGACAAACUACACCUAGCAGUUUCCCCUCCUCACUAUUUAUUCCGGAGAACAAAACGCAUGACUUUUUGAUAGACUGGAUUACCUACCAUAGUUUCUUCUACUAUCCACUAGGCUUUGCUUCGAAAAUACAACACGAGCUCAGGCUAGACGAGAGAUAUGUUGCUAAUGCAGGUAAUCCAGUCUUAGAUUUUUGACAUACAUUAUUACUACACCUAGAUUACUAAAUUACCUGGACUGGAGUGUUUUAAUCUCUAGUAUCCAUGAUCGACAGAUCAGGGCAUCUACUGGAGCGAAAUACACAAUGUAUGUCAUUCCCAAACACAAGACGAGGACAUUUAGAAAUUAGUACAAUGGCCUAGGACUUUAGAAUGGGUUACCAGACAAUGUUAGGCAGUGCCAAAUCCCACCAAAUUUUAGGCUGGAAUGCAAGAAGCAUACGUUAAAUUUUAUCACGUGAAAUUAUCACUGCCUGGAAGUUUUAGAAGUGCAUUAUUACUGUCUUAGUAUUGUAUUUUCAUUUCAUUAUUGUAUUUAUGUAACAUUCAACGCCUAACUUUGAUAUUUAUUUAAACAUAUGGCAUAAUAUUGAUAUAAACUGUAUGUAUAUCAAAUGUGUUUUAUACAAAUCAUAGAACAACUUUAUUGUGACAUCUUUUACGAUAUGCUUCUUUAAUUUACCUACUGUGAUAUCAAUGUUUGUAUGUGAUGCUUUAAUUUUACAUGUUGUAAACAUUGCUUGUUGAUAGUGUCGACAACUUGGAAGAAGAGUCUUGUUACUGUCAU